GGCACAAUGGCUUAGUUGGCUAAAGCAUCUGCCUUGCAAACAUAAGAUCCUGGGUGCAACUCCCAGUGGUGCCU
rnacentral:tRNA from 1 species